GGCAUUUUCGUUAUUUCAAGCUGCCGUCACGAGCAAACGAGAAUUCUAAAUAGAAUCAGGGUUUCAUUCGAUCCUCCGCUGAAGCGAGCCGCAGCUGUUCGACUCCUACGCUCGCCCCCGUCUUCGAUCUCUCUCUCUCUCUCUCGCGAUGGGUUCCGAGAAGAAGCUGUCGAACCGGAUGCGGGAUAUCAAGGGCCAGAACCUCGUCCGCAACGUCUCUGUGGCAGAGAGUCGCGAUCGCUUCACUAGAGCCGCUAAGAUCUGAUCCUUCAACUGGUAUCUAUGGCAUGGAUUUCUAUGUCGUCUUGGAGCAAGCUGGCUGUCGUGUGAACCAUCGACACCCGAUGCAGCAUCACCAAGGAGGACACAAUGAAGUGGCUCCAAGUGAAAUAUGAGGGUGUCAUCUUCAACAAGUCUCAGGCAGUCACAGGUCCUUGGAGUUUGGUAUAUGACUGGACCCUGAAAGUUGUUCUACAGAUAAAUAG